UGUAAACAUCCUUGACUGGAAGCUGCAUUCUGACCCUUUAAGGCUUUCAGUCGGAUGUUUGCAG
ensembl:miRNA gmo-mir-30e-1 gmo-mir-30e-1